CUCAGGAUGAACGCUAGCGGGAGGCCUAACACAUGCAAGCCGAGCGGUAGAGAUUCUUCGGAAUCUUGAGAGCGGCGUACGGGUGCGGAACACGUUGUGACAACCUUACCUUUAUCUGGAGGAUAGCCUUUCGAAAGGAAGAUUAAUACUCCAUAAUAUAUUUGAUGGCAUCAUUAAAUAUUGAAAGCUCCGGCGGAUAGAGAUGGGCACGCGCAAGAUUAGCUAGUUGGUGAGGUAACGGCUCACCAAGGCAAUGAUCUUUAGGGGGCCUGAGAGGGUGAUCCCCACACUGGUACUGAGACACGGACCAGACUCCUACGGGAGGCAGCAGUGAGGAAUAUUGGUCAAUGGGUGCAAGCCUGAACCAGCCAUCCCGCGUGAAGGACGACUGCCUAUGGGUUGUAAACUUCUUUUGUAUAGGGAUAAACCUACUCUCGUGAGAGUAGCUGAAGGUACUAUACGAAUAAGCACCGGCUAACUCCGUG
rnacentral:rRNA from 1 species